rnacentral:rRNA from 1 species
CCUACGGGAGGCUGCAGUGGGGAAUAUUGGACAAUGGGGGCAACCCUGAUCCAGCCAUGCCGCGUGUGUGAAGAAGGCCCUCGGGUUGUAAAGCACUUUCAGUGAGGAAGAACGCCUGGUGGUUAAUACCCAUCAGGAAAGACAUCACUCACAGAAGAAGCACCGGCUAACUCCGUGCCAGCAGCCGCGGUAAUACGGAGGGUGCGAGCGUUAAUCGGAAUUACUGGGCGUAAAGCGCGCGUAGGUCGCUUGAUAAGCCGGUUGUGAAAGCCCCGGGCUCAACCUGGGAACGGCAUCCGGAACUGUCAAGCUAGAGUGCAGGAGAGGAAGGUAGAAUUCCCGGUGUAGCGGUGAAAUGCGUAGAGAUCGGGAGGAAUACCAGUGGCGAAGGCGGCCUUCUGGACUGACACUGACACUGAGGUGCGAAAGCGUGGGUAGCAAACAGGAUUAGAUACCCUAGUAGUC